AACGAACGCUGGCGGCAUGCCUAACACAUGCAAGUCGAACGAGACCUUCGGGUCUAGUGGCGCACGGGUGCGUAACGCGUGGGAACCUGCCCUUAGGUUCGGAAUAACUCCCCGAAAGGGGUGCUAAUACCGGAUAAUGUCUUCGGACCAAAGAUUUAUCGCCUUUGGAUGGGCCCGCGUUGGUUUAGCUAGUUGGUAGGGUAAAAGCCUACCAAGGCGACGAUCCAUAGCUGGUCUGAGAGGCAGGUCAGCCACACUGGGGCUGAGACACGGCCCAGACUCCUACGGGAGGCAGCAGUGGGGGAUAUUGGACAAUGGGCGAAAGCCUGAUCCAGCAAUGCCGCGUGAGUGAUGAAGGCCUUAGGGUUGUAAAGCUCUUUUACCCGGGAUGAUAAUGACAGUACCGGGAGAAUAAGCUCCGACUAACUCCGUG
rnacentral:rRNA from 1 species